GACGAACGCUGGCGGCGUGCUUAACACAUGCAAGUCGAACGGAAAGGCCCUGCUUUUGUGGGGUGCUCGAGUGGCGAACGGGUGAGUAACACGUGAGUAACCUGCCCUUGACUUUGGGAUAACUUCAGGAAACUGGGGCUAAUACCGGAUAGGAGCUCCUGCUGCAUGGUGGGGGUUGGAAAGUUUCGGCGGUUGGGGAUGGACUCGCGGCUUAUCAGCUUGUUGGUGGGGUAGUGGCUUACCAAGGCUUUGACGGGUAGCCGGCCUGAGAGGGUGACCGGCCACAUUGGUACUGAGAUACGGCCCAGACUCCUACGGGAGGCAGCAGUGGAGAAUAUUGCACAAUGGGCGGAAGCCUGAUGCAGCAACGCCGCGUGCGGGAUGACGGCCUUCGGGUUGUAAACCGCUUUCGCCUGUGACGAAGCGUGAGUGACGGUAAUGGGUAAAGAAGCACCGGCUAACUACGUG
rnacentral:rRNA from 1 species